UACGGAGGGUGCAAGCGUUAAUCGGAAUAACUGGGCGUAAAGGGCAUGCAGGCGGUCGGGCAAGUAGGAUGUGAAAGCCCCGGGCUCAACCUGGGAACUGCAUUCCAAACUGUCCGACUAGAGUAUUGCAGGGGGAGACGGAAUUCCAGGUGUAGCGGUGGAAUGCGUAGAUAUCUAGAAGAACACCAAAGGCGAAGGCAGUCUCCUGGGCAAAUACUGACGCUCAUAUGCGAAAGCGUGGGUAGCAAACAGG
rnacentral:misc_RNA from 1 species